GACGUAGGGGCGCAAGCGUUGUCCGGAUUUAUUGGGCGUAAAGAGCUCGUAGGCGGCCUGUCGCGUCGACCGUGAAAACCCGCAGCUCAACUGCGGGCUUGCGGUCGAUACGGGCAGGCUCGAGUUCGGUAGGGGAGACUGGAAUUCCUGGUGUAGCGGUGAAAUGCGCAGAUAUCAGGAGGAACACCAGUGGCGAAGGCGGGUCUCUGGGCCGAUACUGACGCUGAGGAGCGAAAGCGUGGGGAGCGAACAGG
rnacentral:rRNA from 1 species